UAACCUCAGCAGACAGUUACCCCUAAUCCACCUCAUCACAGAAAUUCUGGCGCCGUCCUCCCCGCCCAGUUUGUAUUGAGAGGUCAAUUAUAUUGAGAGGUCAGUUUUAUUGAGAGGUCAAUUAUAUUGAGAGGUCAAUUAUAUUGAGACGUCAGUUAUAUUGAGAGGUCAAUUAUAUUGAGAGGUCAAUUAUAUGAAAUGUAAAAUGUGUGGACACACAUAUAUUGGAACGUAUCUGAGUGGUCUAACAUUUGACAUGUCAGAGACACGUUCAGACAAAUCCAACUCAAUAUCACUUCAGUCUUAGCAAAACAAUGAUGAGAUAGCUGAUAUCUUAAGAUGGUAUCUAUAUUCUUCACCGAUAAGAAAGUAAUUUUAUUUAUAUACAGGUACACAUAAGUACAAUUAUCAUACAUAGUGUAAAUUACCUAGGAUAAUCCCCCCAAAAAGUCAG